GGGACUGAAAGGAUUUCUACAUUUUGAUGUUUUAAUUAUGUUCUAUUUAACUAAUUACAUAUAUUAAUUUUUUGUAUAUUUAAUAGAUUUACUUGUUAAUGAUAUUAAAAAUAGAAAAAUAUUAAUAUUUACAUUAAUUGCAAAACACAAUAUUAUAUCUUUUUCUAAAAAUUUAGUGAUAGCGUAAAUUAUUAGAAUUUUAAAUUGUCUUUUCUUUAUUCAAUUUAUUUAUUUAUUCAAAGAAUGCUCUAGUUGCAGAGUAUAAUUUUAACCUAAGUUAUUAAUUUUUUGUAAUUAGGUAAGUAUUACGUAUCUCAAUUUAAGAGUUUAAUAAAAAUUUUUUAGUUAAAUCAUAUGAACUUAAUUUUAUAUUAAUAUGGACGUGGGUUCAAAUCCCACCAGUUCCA
rnacentral:tmRNA from 1 species